rnacentral:tRNA from 1 species
UUAGUUAAAACCAAAAAGAGGUAUAUCACUGUUAAUGAUAAAAUUGAAAGUUUUCUAACUAAA